rnacentral:rRNA from 1 species
UUUCCGGGAUUGCAAUGAGAACAAUUUAAAAACCUUAUCGAGUACCAACUGGAGGGCAAGUUCUGGUGCCAGCAGCCGCGGUAAUUCCAGCUCCAGUAGCGUAUAUUAAAGUUGCUGCAGUUAAAAAGCUCGUAGUUGAAUUUCUGUUUGUAAGAGUCGAAGCUUUACAGCUAAGAUUUCUUCGAACAUCUGUUUGCAAGCAUACGUUCGGCCUUCACUGGUUGGCUAUGUAAGCAAGCGCUUUACCUUGAGAAAAUUAGAGUGUUCCAGGCAGGCCUCAGCCGGAAUACAUUAGCAUGGAAUAAUGGAAUAGGACUGGGGACUAUUUAUUGGUUUGAGGCUCCAGUAAUGAUUAAUAGGAACAGUCGGGGGCAUUGGUACUUAACAGUCAGAGGUGAAAUUCUUGGAUUUGUUAAAGACUAACUAAUGCGAAAGCAUUUGCCAAGCAUGUUUUCAUUAAUCAAGAACGAAAGUUAGGGGAUCAAAGACGAUUAGAUACCGUCCUAGUCUUAACUGUAAACGAUUCCAUCUUAGAAUUGGGUGAAUAUUUGAUGAUUCAUCCAGCGCUAUAAGAGAAAUCAAAGUCUUUGGGUUCUUGGUGGAGUACGAUCGCAAGAUUGAAACUUAAAGGAAUUGACGGUUUUGCACACCAUGGAGUGGAGCCUGUGGCUUAAUUUGACCCAACACUGGGAAACUCAUCAGGACAACAAAGUUUUAGGAUUGACAGAUUGAUAGCUCUUUCUUGAUUGACUUAAUGGUGGUGCAUGGCCGUUCUUAGUUGGUGGAGUGAUUUGUCUGGUUAAUUCCGUUAACGAACGAGACCUUAACCUACUAACUAGUACGACGUGACGAACGUUAGUUACUUCUUAGAGGGACAAUGUGUAUUUUUAACACAAGGAAGUUUAAGGCAAUAACAGGUCUGUGAUGCCCUUAGAUGUCCUGAGCCGCACACGCGCUACAAUGACACUUUCAAUAAGUUUUUGCUGGUCCGACAGGAUUUCGGCUAAUCUUUUUAGUAAGUGUCGUGCUAGGGGUAGAUCUUUGCAAUUGUGGAUCUUGAACGAGGAAUUCCUAGUAAGCACAAGUCAUCAGCUUGUGCUGAUUACGUCCCUGCGAAAUGUACACAUCGCCCGUCGCUUGCUCCGAUUGAGUAAUCUGGUGAGCCUUCUUGACUGAGUAAGUAAUUACGAAGAAAAUUAAGCAAACCAUAUUACUUAGAGGAUGAAGAAGUCGUA